rnacentral:rRNA from 1 species
UGAAAUUACGCCUUCAUGAAGCUGGAAUUGCUAGUAAUGGCAGGUCAGCAUACUGCCGUGAAUACGUUCCCGGGCCUUGUACACACCGCCCGUCACACCAUGAGAGUUGGAAAUACCCGAAGCCUGUGAGCUAACUUAAAGAGGCAGCAGUCGAAGGUAGAGCCAAUGAUUGGGGUGAAGUCGUAACAAGGUACC